rnacentral:rRNA from 1 species
GACGAACGCUGGCGGCGUGCUUAACACAUGCAUGUCGAACGGACUAUUUCAUUUCGAAAGUCGAGUGGCAAACGGGUGAGUAACGCGUAGACAACCUGCCUUUGAGAUGGGGACAACAGUUCGAAAGGACUGCUAAUACCGAAUGUUGUAUAUUUUCCACAUGGAAGAUAUAUUAAAGAUGGCCUCUAUUUAUAAGCUAUCGCUCAAAGAUGGGUCUGCGUCUGAUUAGCUGGUUGGUGGGGUAACGGCCUACCAAGGCGACGAUCAGUAGCCGGUCUGAGAGGAUGAACGGCCACAUUGGGACUGAGACACGGCCCAGACUCCUACGGGAGGCAGCAGUGGGGAAUCUUCCACAAUGGACGAAAGUCUGAUGGAGCAACGCCGCGUGAGUGAAGAAGGGUUUCGGCUCGUAAAGCUCUGUUGUCGGGGACGAAUGUGCAGUAUUUGAAUAAAGUACUGUAAUGACGGUACCUGACGAGGAAGCCACGGCUAACUACGUGCCAACAGCAGCCGCCG